GGUUGGGCGGUUUCCCUGUGCACCGAAACCACCAAGAUUUGAUGGCCCCCCAAAAAAGAAAUCAAAACAACUUCCUUCUGCCCAACCCCUGGGCUUGAACUUUAAAAAAGCCACUGACCAAUCUGAAGGUAACUGUGUUGUCUUGUGUAUCCAGCAUUCAGCAUCAAAGAUAUAUAAAUAAGAAAUCUAAUGCAUGUCUCUAUAUAAUAAUAUACAAUGACAAGGAGGAUAUAGGUUCUCCACAGACCCGACAUCUCAGGGCAAGUACAGUGCAAAUUCAAGUCAAAAUGGCAAUGGUUUCCUCCUCCAACACAUAGUAAACCCUUUUUCUUUCAUUGAAACAGAUUCAGUCCAGUUCCAUGCCCCUCCAACCCCCAUGACCACUUCAGGUCACCAAUCUGGAGCAGGCUAUGGAUGCUCAUCAUUGGGGCCUGCUUUUCAGCAUCCUGAAAACUCAUACAGAUUAAUACUGCAGCAUCUGAGGGAGUUGGCCAAAGAACUGAGGGAUGUGAAACAGCAGGUUUCUUUAAACACAGCCAUAUUACAGAGCCUGACAGCUGGAACCAACGUGGACAUGUCCAUCCCACCAGACGUCAUCCUCUGGAGGAUAGAAGUAUGCUGGAGGACAUUGAGAGAGAGCUUGGACAAAAUCUGGAAUUAACAGAGAAAUUGGUAAUUUAAAAAAAUCUGUUUUAUUUUAGAUACCCUUAUACCUAAUGCAGUGUGUGAAAUCUGCAUAUCCCUCUCUUUGAAGAGGCCCUUUGAAGAGCUUGAAGACAAGAUGGGGAGACAGGCAAUAACUUUGUCAUUGGCUUAUCAUAA
ensembl:lncRNA